GGCCUCUUGAUUUAUUAAUAAGAGGUUUGACCUGCCCAGUGAAUAUUUAACGGCCGCGGUACUCUGACCGUGCAAAGGUAGCAUAAUCAUUAGUCUUUUAAAAGGAGGCUGGAAUGAAGGGUUUGACGAGGAAUUAACUGUCUCAUUUUUUUUGGAUUUAAAAUUUAACUUUUUAGUCAAAAGGCUAAAAUUUUAUUGGUAGACGAGAAGACCCUAUAGAGCUUUAUAUUUAUUUGAUUAUUUGUAUUAUAUUAUUUAUUAUUAUUUUAGGUAAAUAUUUUGUUGGGGUGGCAAAAAUAUAUAAUUAACUUUUUUAUUUUAAUUACAUUGAUUUAUGAAUAUGAGAUCCAUUAUUAUUGAUUGUUAGAUUAAGUUACCUUAGGGAUAACAGCGUAAUCCUCUUCCAGAGUUCAUAUUUACGGGAGGGCUUGCGACCUCGAUGUUGGAUUAAGAUAAUAUUUAGGUGUAGCCGCUUAAGUAAUAGGUCUGUUCGACCUUUAAAUUCUU
rnacentral:rRNA from 1 species